ACCUACAACAAGCACCGACAGGCGCACAGCUGAUUUCGUAACGACCAGGCGACACUCCCGGAGUUUCACCGUUCUCCGGAAACGUUCAGUGAUCUAUAUAUUCUAGGGAAUUCAGGGAACAAUACGGAAACGGACUGGCUGACUAACUGUAAAAUAUUCUAAAAGUUCAGCACAAAGAAUAUUUUACAAAUAAAAUGUAGGGAGACAGCAGAAUUAAACAGAGGCAGACACCAAAAGAAGAUUACAUGUUUUUACAGGCGUAUUGUGUCACGGUCAACAAACACGACGUCAUAAUCGGCUGAAGAAGCUCAGUGAUUUUUCAGAUCAUUGAACCUGUUCGUUUUUAUACGAAUAGUGGAAAAACGACUUGACUAUGCUUAGUACUAUGAUUCAUAAAAUUGAGAGCAGACCUUGUCUUCUGUAAGAGGAUGUUGCGCUGUUUGAUUGUUAAAC